AGUGAACGCUGGCGGUAGGCCUAACACAUGCAAGUCGAACGGCAGCACAGUAAGAGCUUGCUCUUACGGGUGGCGAGUGGCGGACGGGUGAGGAAUACAUCGGAAUCUACUUUUUCGUGGGGGAUAACGUAGGGAAACUUACGCUAAUACCGCAUACGACCUACGGGUGAAAGCAGGGGAUCUUCGGACCUUGCGCGAUUGAAUGAGCCGAUGUCGGAUUAGCUAGUUGGCGGGGUAAAGGCCCACCAAGGCGACGAUCCGUAGCUGGUCUGAGAGGAUGAUCAGCCACACUGGAACUGAGACACGGUCCAGACUCCUACGGGAGGCAGCAGUGGGGAAUAUUGGACAAUGGGCGCAAGCCUGAUCCAGCCAUACCGCGUGGGUGAAGAAGGCCUUCGGGUUGUAAAGCCCUUUUGUUGGGAAAGAAAAGCAGCAGGUUAAUACCCCGCCGUUCUGACGGUACCUAAAGAAUAAGCACCGGCUAACUUCGUG
rnacentral:rRNA from 1 species